rnacentral:rRNA from 1 species
AACGAACGCUGGCGGCAUGCCUAACACAUGCAAGUCGAACGAGACCUUCGGGGCUUGUGGCGCACGGGUGCGUAACGCGUGGGAACCUGCCCUUAGGUUCGGAAUAACUCCCCGAAAGGGGUGCUAAUACCGGAUAAUGUCUUCGGACCAAAGAUUUAUCGCCUUUGGAUGGGCCCGCGUUGGAUUAGCUAGUUGGUAGGGUAAAAGCCUACCAAGGCGACGUUCCAUAGCUGGUCUGAGAGGAUGAUCAGCCACACUGGGACUGAGACACGGCCCAGACUCCUACGGGAGGCAGCAGUGGGGAAUAUUGGACAAUGGGCGAAAGCCUGAUCCAGCAAUGCCGCGUGAGUGAUGAAGGCCUUAGGGUUGUAAAGCUCUUUUACCCGGGAUGAUAGUGACAGUACCGGGAGAAUAAGCUCCGGCUAACUCCGUG